AUACGUAGGGGGCGAGCGUUAUCCGGAAUUACUGGGUGUAAAGGGUGUGCAGGCGGCAUUGCAAGUUUGAUGUGAAACCCCGGGGCUUAACUCCGGGCAUGCAUCGAAAACUACAGAGCUAGAGUACAGGAGAGGAAAGCGGAAUUCCUAGUGUAACGGUGAAAUGUGUAGAUAUUAGGAAGAACACCAGUGGCGAAGGCGGCUUUCUGGACUGAAACUGACGCUGAGACACGAAAGCGUGGGGAGCAAACAGGAUUAGAUACCCUGGUAGUCCACGCUGUAAACGAUGAAUACUAGGUGUCGGGGCCGUAGGCCUCGGUGCCGCAGUUAACGCAAUAAGUAUUCCACCUGGGGAGUACGGCCGCAAGGCUGAAACUCAAAUGAAUUGACGGGG
rnacentral:rRNA from 1 species